rnacentral:tRNA from 1 species
GCGGGUAUAGCUUAGUGGUAGAGCUCCAGCUUCCCAAGCUGGCUGUGUGGGUUCGAUUCCCAUUACCCGCUCCA